AGGUGAAGACCUGUGCUUGUGGUGUAAAGCAGCUGGAGAAAAAUUCAGAGCUAUCAUUUUCAAGUCACCUAAAAUCUAUCCAUCUAAAAAGAUUUUGGUAGCAUUGAAGUGAUGCUGUAGCUGUGAUGGUCCAGGAAAUAAGUACACCUCUGCAAUCCCACCAACUUCAGUAUGGCUGCAUCUAUACCUGAACUCGCUCCUACAAGGACCUGCAGAGACUACAGCAUGUUUAUACAACCCUGAAUUAUGGCAGGCUUUCCUAGGCUGUCCAGCAUCUCCACAGCACUCCACUCUGUAGCCCUGCUCCUGGCUUAUCCCUACAUGAGGGCUUGUGGAAAGUCCUUGGAAGGUUAUUUUAAGGCUGUUUUAUAGCCUCUGCACCAAGGAAAUCCUCCCACAACUGGAUACAUGAUGGUGCUUUAUGCAGCUCUGGUCCUCCUACCUGACAGAAAGGGCCAGAAUGAGGGAGGGUGUGAAAAUCUCACCCAUAUUUCUAGCUUGUUUGUUUAAAUAAUGCCAAAUACUUCACUUUAUCUUGCUGAGACAAGCAGAUAUCACAAAGAAAUGCACAACUGAAAUACAGUGAGAUUAUAACUAAACAACCACCCUUAGACAUCUUACACUAAACCCUUCCUGAAACACUUUUGAUCUCCACAGAUAUAAAGUAUUCUUUCUCGACUUCAAAACUCCUCUGAAGUGACUACACAAUCAUGUUGCCAUCUCCCAAUUUAUUUAUAGGCUCUUCUAUGAUGCAUAUCUCCACAGCAUCUGAAAAUGCCAUCCUCACAGCCUUGCUCUAGGGUAAGGCAGCAUUUUGGUAGCAGCUACUUGUCCUGAGUUCAGUGGGGUUAGCACAGACCCAAGCAGUAAUUUUCACUUUGCUUUAGAGCAGUGGUUUGCAAACUUUUAAGACUCAAAGCACCCCUCAUGAGGCCCCCCUCAGAAAGCACUGGCUCUUAGUUUUUACUUU